UCUCCGUAGGUGAACCUGCGGAGGGAUCAUUACAGAGUUCAUGCCCUUCCGGGUAGAUCUCCACCCUGUGUUAUCGUCACCUUUGUUGCUUUGGCGGGCCGCCCAGGCCUUGGCCCGGCUACCGGCUCCGGCUGGUACGCGCCCGCCAGAGGACCCUAAACUCUUGAAUAUCAGUGUCGUCUGAGUACUAUGUAAUAGUUAAAACUUUCAACAACGGAUCUCUUGGUUCUG
rnacentral:misc_RNA from 1 species